AUUAAUAAGUCGUCCUUUAUUAAUUCUUGAAUAGAUUAGAAAGGAAAAGGGAUAUUACAAGCCUCCCCCGGCUAUCAAGUAUAAUAAUCGCGACUCGAGGUACCGAUGGGGAUGACGGAAUGGCUUAGCAGUGAGGAAUUGAUAUUAGAAUGACUCAAACACUUAUAGUUUUUGUAACCUAAGUAGUUAGUUAGUUAAUUAACAUUAACGUUGUUCUACUUUAAUAUAAUAUAGUACGUUUAA